UACGUAGGGGGCAAGCGUUGUCCGGAAUCAUUGGGCGUAAAGCGCGUGUAGGCGGUCCGGUAAGUCCGCUGUGAAAGUCGGGGGCUCAACCCUCGGAUGCCGGUGGAUACUGUCGGGCUUGAGUACGGAAGAGGCGAGUGGAAUUCCUGGUGUAGCGGUGAAAUGCGCAGAUAUCAGGAGGAACACCGGUGGCGAAGGCGGAUCUCUGGGCAGUGUCCUGACGCUGAGGAGCGAAAGU
rnacentral:rRNA from 1 species